GUCAGAAUGGCCGAGUGGUCUAAGGCGCCAGACCCAAGUUCUGGUCCCCGAAAGGGGUUUGUGGGUUCGAAUCCCACUUCUGACA